AGAUUUUUUUGAUUGGGUGUAUUUGUCUUGUCAUUGGUUCUGCUCCUUUACUAACUACACCAAUUAUUAAUCUCUGCAUCUAUAUUGUCUUUAAUCAUUUUUAUUAUUAUUUUCUCUCAAGCCUGUCUUCCAACUUGAUGGAUACACUGGUAACAUUAUCUAUUCUAUUUCUUGCUGCUUUCACUAUGCUUUUUAUUUCUGUAACAAUUUGUUUAUCUGCAUUUUUUGAGACAAUAUGGGACAUAUUGAGAAAGCAUGUGAAGACGUCAGUGGGGCUCACACUGAAUUUGAGCCAAUUCCACAGUUUCUUAAUGGGACUCCUAGGUGUGGAUAAAUGGACUUAGAGCACAAGACAACUCAUGGGAACUAAGCUGAUGGAGAGUGAAGAAAGGAAAAGG